AGAGUUUGAUCCUGGCUCAGGACGAACGCUGGCGGCGUGCUUAACACAUGCAAGUCGAACGGGAGGAAAAGAGAAGCUUGCUUCUUUUUGAAUCUAGUGGCAAACGGGUGAGUAACACGUAAACAACCUGCCUUCAGGAUGGGGACAACAGACGGAAACGACUGCUAAUACCGAAUGUGUUCCGGAGACCGCAUGAUUUCCGGAAGAAAGGAUGGCCUCUAUUUAUAAGCUAUCGCCUGAAGAGGGGUUUGCGUCUGAUUAGGCAGUUGGUGAGGUAACGGCCCACCAAACCUACGAUCAGUAGCCGGUCUGAGAGGAUGAACGGCCACACUGGAACUGAGACACGGUCCAGACUCCUACGGGAGGCAGCAGUGGGGAAUCUUCCGCAAUGGACGAAAGUCUGACGGAGCAACGCCGCGUGAGUGAUGACGGCCUUCGGGUUGUAAAGCUCUGUGAUCGGGGACGAAUGGCUGGUAUGCUAAUACCAUAUCAGAGUGACGGUACCCGAAUAGCAAGCCACGGCUAACUACGUGCCAGCAGCCGCGGU
rnacentral:rRNA from 1 species